rnacentral:sRNA from 2 species
CAGGUUGCUUGAUGUAUUCAAUACUAGUUCUAGUUUAUUACCGCUGGAUGUCAAAACUUGCAGCAUUUGGAGAGAAGGGACAGCGGCAGUGAACGCAUCGAAUGUCAUUUAUUCCAAUUACGAUGACUCUCGCCAAGACUAUCCCUGCAUUCGUAUGACUCGAAGCUGGUCCCCCCAGAAUCUGCUCAGGGAGGACGACUUUCACUCUUCUCAUUUAGUCGCCUUCGUGUUACAAGAUGAGUUGCUCUCACUCCAAGGAAUGACCCUCCCCAACCCCACACUCUGGUUUCAGUCGGACUCUCGAUGAAUGGCAGCUUUUUUUUUUCUUUUUCUUUUUUUUUAUGACAAUGGGCUCUGGGAAUAGACAGGCGCUACCAGAUGAGGCUUGACUAGGACGCGGUUUUAGAGCAUACGAAGAGAUACAUGUACAGUUCAUACAUUACGGCGUACAAGACCUGUCCAACUCUAACUCAUCGGACAGCAAGCCCUGGAUACAAUCCCUACGCAAGAAAACGACACGGAAAAAAACCCUGGCGUCUGGGUUGAGGUUUCUCUCAUUUACGCCGCAAUUCUAGUAAUCGCGACGAGCCUCGUACAUGAACUGUUGAAAGAACUAUACCGUUUAUAUACUCGCACAUUGCAUAAGAAAUUUCUGAACUGGACUUCUCAAUAAUUCGUAGGAUAAACCGAAACGCACCCACCUAGCGGACAGGUAUGCUCCCGCUCUCUGAUGCUGGGUUUAGAUAUUUCGCAAUAGGGCGUUUGUCUUCCUCCGUUUCCUGUUCUUGCUCUCCUCCCAUUCCCAUUUUCUCAGAUGAUUUUGCCGAAGCCGUCACCGAUGAAUCCCAAUAAUGUGUGUGCUUUCUUACAUGUGUGAUCUUACCGCAAUGAUUUGAUAACGACGUGUCCAGGCUCACAGAACUCGGAAUAUCCGUACCAGCAUGGGGUUGUUCAUUACUACGGACUCUUCUACAGUUUGUCCUGUAUGGCUUUUCUUUUGUGAAUUGCAUCCCAGAGCCAAAACAGCUUUCUAAAAAUGUUUGUAACUGGU